rnacentral:misc_RNA from 1 species
GAUGAAGAACGUAGCGAAAUGCGAUACUUGGUGUGAAUUGCAGAAUCCCGUGAACCAUCGAGUCUUUGAACGCAAGUUGCGCCCGAAGCCAUUAGGCCGAGGGCACGCCUGCCUGGGCGUCACACGUCGUUGCCCCCCCAUCUACUCCUUCGGGAUUGCGGGGGGCGGAUGAUGGCCUCCCGUGCGCCUCGUCGCGCGGUUGGCCUAAAUGCCAAGUCCUCGGCGACGCACGCCACGACAAUCGGUGGUUGCGAAACCUCGGUUGCCUGUCGUGUGCGGUCGUCGCGCAUCGAGGGCUCGAAAAAAUUGCCGGGCUUCGGCUCGACUUUCAACGCGACCCUAGGUCAGGCGGGGUUACCCGCUGAAUUUAAGCAUAUCAAUAAGCGGAGGA